AUUGAACGCUGGCGGCAUGCCUAACACAUGCAAGUCGAACGGCAGCACAGUAAAGAUUUCGGUCUUUAUGGGUGGCGAGUGGCGGACGGGUGAGUAAUGCGUAGGAAUCUGUCCUGGAGAGUAGGAUAACCCGAGGAAACUCGGGCUAAUACUGCAUGAUAUCGAGAGAUCAAAGGCAGGGGACCCUUCGGGGCCUUGCGCUCUAGGAUGAGCCUACGUCGGAUUAGCUAGUUGGUGGGGUAAAGGCCUACCAAGGCGACGAUCCGUAGCUGGUCUGAGAGGAUGACCAGCCACACUGGGACUGAGACACGGCCCAGACUCCUACGGGAGGCAGCAGUGGGGAAUCUUGGACAAUGGGGGAAACCCUGAUCCAGCGAUGCCGCGUGUGUGAAGAAGGCCUUCGGGUUGUAAAGCACUUUAGUUGGGGAAGAAAAGUAAUGAGUGAAUAACUGAUUGCUCUGACGGUACCCAAAGAAUAAGCACCGGCUAACUCUGUGCCAGCAGCCGCGGUAA
rnacentral:rRNA from 1 species